UACAGAGGGUGCAAGCGUUAAUCGGAUUUACUGGGCGUAAAGCGUGCGUAGGCGGUUCGCUAAGUCGGUUGUGAAAUCCCUGGGCUUAACCUGGGAACUGCAGUCGAUACUGGUGAACUAGAAUGCGGUAGAGGGUGGCGGAACUCCGGGUGUAGCGGUGAAAUGCGUAGAUAUCUGGAGGAACACCGGUGGCGAAGGCGGCAUCCUGGACCAAUACUGACGCUGAGUGAGCGAAAGCCAGGGGAGCAAACGGG
rnacentral:rRNA from 1 species